rnacentral:rRNA from 1 species
GUUCGAUCCUGGCUCAGGUUGAACGCUGGCGGUCUUUACAUGCAAGAUCGAACGGCAGCACGGACUUCGGUCUGGUGGCGAGUGGCGAACGGGUGAGUAUCGGAACGUACCUGCCCUAGUAUGAUAACUACGCGGCGUAGCUAAUCACCGCCUUCGGGGAAAGCGGGGGACCUUCGGGCCUCGCACUAUUGACAGCAUUCUCGGAUUGGCUAGUUGGUGGGGUAACGGCUCACCAAGGCGACGAUCCGUAGCUGGUUUGAGAGGACGACCAGCCACUGGGACUGAGACACGGCCCAGACUCCUGCAGGAGGCAGCAGUGGGGAAUUUGGACAAUGGGGGAAACCCUAGUCCAGCCAUCCCGCGUGUGCGAUGAAGGCCUUCAGGUUUGUAAAGCACUUUUGGCGAUAAUACCCGUGCAACUGAUAAGUACCUGCAGAAUAAGCACCGGCUAACUACGUGCCAGCAGCCGCGGUAAUACGUAGGGUGCAAGCGUUAAUCAGGAAUUACUGGGCGUAAAGCGUGCGCAGGCGGUUCGGAAAGAAAGAUGUGAAAUCCCAGAGCUUAACUGGAACUGCAUUUUUAACACCGAGCUAGAGUGUCAGAGGAGGUGGAAUUCCGCGUGUAGCAGUGAAAUGCGUAGAUAUGCCGGAGGAAUACCGAUGGCGAAGGCAGCCUCUGGGACAACACACUGACGCUCAUGGGCGAAAGCAUGCAGAAGACAUGAUAAGUUAGAAUGCCCUGGUAGUCCACGCCCCGGCAGUGUCAACUAGCUGUUGGAACCUUGGCCCAUAGUAGCGCAGCUAACGCGUGAAGUUGACGCCUGGGGAAGUACGGUCGCAAGAUUAAAACUCGAAGGAAUUGACGGGGACCGCACAAGCGGUGGAUGAUGUGGAUUAAUUCGAUGCAACAUAAAACAUACCUGCCCUUGACAUGUGGAAUCCGAAGAAGAUUUGGGAGUGCUGUGAAGAGGGCCGGAACACAGGUGCUGCAUGGCUGUCGUCAGCUCGUGUCGUGAGAUGUUGGGUUAAGUCCCGCAACAAGCGGCCUUGUCAUUAGUUGCUACGAAAGGGCACUCUAAUGAGACUGCCGUUAAACCGGAGGAAGGUGGGGAUGACCGUCGGAUAUAUGGCCAUAUGGUGGGGCUUCACACACGUCAUACAAUGGUCGGGACAGAGGGUCGCCAAGCCCGCGAGGAGCCAAUCCCGAAACCCGAUCGUAGUCCGGAUCGCAGUCCUGGCACUCGACUGCGUGAAGUCGGAAUCGCUAGUAAUCGCGGAUCAGCAUGUCGCGGUGAAUACGUUCCCGGGUCUUGUACACACCGCCCGUCACACCAUGAAGUGGGUUUACUACAGAAGUAGUUAGCCUAACCGUAAGGAGGGCGAUUACCACGGUAGGAUUCAUGACUGGGGUGAAGUCGUAACAAGGUAG